GCCGCCGACGCGAUGACGUAGGAGGACGGCGGAGGGAGCCGGAAGGAGCCGAAGGAGGGGGCUCAGAGUGGGCUCGGCUCGGUUGCUCCUCGCGAGACUUGACCGGGAAGCGCUGCAAUCUGUGGGCCACACACCGCUCGGUGCAAGCCAUACACGCUGUGUCCUCAGUGGGUUUCACACCGUUUUCCCUUCAGUCCCAGCAUGUACCUGAGCAGCGCUGCCCGCACCCCCCUCCUGCGCUGGGCCGGAAUCCUGCAGUCCCCGGGGCUGUGGCUGCGGAGGCAGUCGGGCUGGAGCCCCUAUGGAGCGGUCAUCUUUGAUGCGAGCGGAGUGCUGCUCCCAUCCCCCCAGCACACAGCUGCAGACUGGGAGGCCCGGAAUUGUAUUCCAGCCGGCACUGUCCAGCAAGCUCUGCUGUCUGGAGGGGAAAAUAGUCCCUCUCUCAAGUACACAAGAGGAGAGCUGACAACUGUGGAAUUUUUGGAGGAAUUGGGACAGCAGUGCUUUGAGAUUGCAAAUAUCCGUGUUCCAGUGAACUCUUUCCUCUCCAAAUUAAUCAGAAAUGAGAUGAUAAAACAGCUCCCCAUAAUGGCAGAAGCAAUACAGUGUAUCCGUGCAGAAGGUCUUAAGACAGCUCUUCUGAGCAACAGCUUCCGGCUACCAAAUGGAGAGAGCUUUCUGCCCCUGGAUCAAAAGCAUUUUGAUGUGAUAGUUGAAGCUUAUCGGGAAGGAAAGUGCAAGCCAGAUCCUCGCAUCUACAAGCUGUGCUUGGAGCGCUUGGAUGUUCAGCCUCAGGAAUCCAUCUUCCUUGACAACAGCAGCCAGAACCUGAAAACAGCAGCCCAACUUGGUAUUAAAACAGUGAAGGUUGAUGAUCUUGAAGUAGCAUUCAAAGAGCUGGAAACCUAUCUGGGUUUUCCUUUACAAGGGUUUGUUCCAUAUACUCGUUCAGUGGGACCAACCACGGAAAUUCCAAAAGAUCGUCUGCAAAAGUACCUUGAAAAUGUUUUCAGUGACCAGGCAACAGGUCCACUGACGCUGCGGCAGUUUGGCUGUGGACAGUCUACCCGGACCUAUUUUGUCAAGUUUGGAGAUCGUUCUCUGGUGCUGAAGAAGGAACUCCCUGACAGCCUGCUUCCUUCAGGUCCUGCUGUUGGAAGGGAAUACAGCUCUCUGACUUGCCCUGGCAGGGUACUGAAGGCACUCUCUGAGGCUGGUGUUCCUGUUCCUACUGUACUUGCUCUGUGUGAGGACAGAAGCAUCCUUGGCACACCUUUCUACCUGAUGGAGCACUGUGCUGGCCAUGUCUACAGGGAUGCCUCCCUGCCAACACUGCUGCCUAGCCAGCGGCGGGCUAUUUAUGCUGCCAUGAGUGAAGUCCUCUCCAAGAUCCACAGCACAGACCUCAGAGCAGCCAAGCUGGAGGACUCCAGGGACCAUGGUAAUUACAUCCAGCAGCAAGUUGAUACCUGGACAAAGCAGUAUCGUGCUACGGAAACUCAUGUUAUUCCAGCCAUGGAGAGACUCAUUGAGUGGCUGCCUUUGCAUUUUCCUGAAUCUCAGAAGACGACAGCUGUGCAUGGUGAUUUCAGGCUGGACAACCUAAUCUUUCACCCAAGGAGGCCAGAAGUCCUUGCUGUCCUUGGCUGGAAGUUCUCAAUUCUAGGAGAUCCCAUCUCCGAUUUGGCAAAUAACUGUAUGGCCUACUUCCUGCCACCUCAGUUUGACUCAAUGAAAGGCUUGGCAAAAUACGACUUGAGGCACCUGGGAGUCCCCACAGCAGAGGAGUAUUGCCAGAAGUACUGCGGCCACAUGGGAAUGGAGCUCCCUGAGAACUGGAAUUUCUACAUGGCCUUUGCUUUCUUCAGGCUGGCUGCAAUGCUGCAGGGACUCCACAAAUGCUCUGUGGCAGGGAGGCCAGCCCGACGUAAAAGCUGUCUGGAGCAUGCAGAGUUAGUGGCUGAUCUGGCUUGGGAUUUUGCCAUAAAAGAAGGAUUCCGUGUCUUUAACAGCCUCUCCAUUGCAAAGCCUUUUGCACAACAUUACAGUACCUGGGCAAGGCAAGGGCCAUUCCUCAGCAGGAGCUACAGUACCUGGACACGUCCUGAGACUGUCCCUGUGCCUGAAGUCCCCAUGAUCACUUCCAUCAGCAGCCUACUGGGGAUGGCCCAAGGUAUUUACUGCAAGCUGGCAAGGAACUUGGAUGUCCAGUGGAGUUUUCUGAUUUCCCAGCCCAGACGCACUCCACGUCCAGUUCUAGAAAAGAAGACACUCAUUUUCAGACCUGGCAGAGUCAACAAGUCUCCAAAAUCAGGGCUGCAUGCUGGCCAUGUGGUGGAGAACUGGUCCUUGCCUGACAGAGCAGUCAGACCCCUCAUCCUUGCCUUCUGUCCAUCUCACUGCUUUUGCCAGCGGCAUCGCACUUCAACUGUCAACCUUUGCUAUGGAUGCAUGUUGUAAAGGCCAAGGGAGGAGGCCAGAGUGGAGUCCUGCUGCCUGCAGGGGAAAGAUAAUGCAGCAGAGUAUUAAACAGCUGAGCAGUCCUGGCUGAGAGAUGUCACAGCACUGAGAAGCUGGGCAAGGGCCAUGGGAAUGGCCAGCUGGCACUGCAGGGGCAGGGGCUUCAUCCCUGUGAUUGGGAGUGAUAUGCAUUUGCUGAGACAGGGAAGCCCAGGGCUGAUCCUGCCAUGUCCUGCAUGGCAACCUGCAAACUUUGGUCCCAAAAACUGCCCAUCCCCAUAUCUCCAUGGAGAGAGAGAUGUGUUUUAUCCUCUUCCACCAGCACCAAAGUAGUGUCUCUGAUGACGACUGUGCAGGCCAUGGAUCAGGCUAGUCAGGUCUCUGGAGCAGAACAUCUCAGCAGUGCAUCCUCCAGCCUGGCACUUCACUCAGACCUGAGCCCCACAUCUGGCUGAAGGUCCCACGUGGUUCACAGGACAAUGUUCUCCAAACUGGAGCUGAGCCACUGCACUGGGGAG